AACGAACGCUGGCGGUAUGCUUAACACAUGCAAGUCGAACGAACAAAAUUGGGGCUUGCUCCAAUUUUAGUUAGUGGCAAACGGGUGAGUAACACGUGGGAAUCUACCUAUCAGUACGGAAUAACAUUUGGAAACAGAUGCUAAUACCGUAUAUUCUCCAAGGAGGAAAGAUUUAUCGCUGAUAGACGAGCCCGCGCAAGAUUAGGUAGUUGGUAGGGGAAUGGCCUACCAAGCCGACGAUCUUUAGCUGGUCUGAGAGGAUGAUCAGCCACACUGGGACUGAGACACGGCCCAGACUCCUACGGGAGGCAGCAGUGGGGAAUAUUGGACAAUGGGCGAAAGCCUGAUCCAGCAAUACCGCGUGAAUGAUGAAGGCCUUAGGGUUGUAAAGUUCUUUUAGUUGGAAAGAUAAUGACGGUACCAACAGAAAAAGCCCCGGCUAACUCCGUGCCAGCCGCCGCAGUAA
rnacentral:rRNA from 1 species